rnacentral:hammerhead_ribozyme from 1 species
ACCAGCCGACGAGUCGAAAAUAAGACGAAACGUUCGUCCUAGAU